UGUGUGUGUUUGCAUGCAUACGCAGUAAGUCGCUUGAGUCGUGUCUUACUCUGUGCAACCCUAUAGACUGUAUCCCGCCAGGCUUUUCUGUCCCUGGGAUUUUCCAGGCAAGACUACUGGAGUGGGUUGCUACUUCCUACUCUCGGGG